AGCAGCCGCGGUAAUUCCAGCUCCAAUAGCGUAUAUUAAAGUUGUUGCAGUUAAAAAGCUCGUAGUUGAAUUUCGGGAUCAAUAUAUUGGUCAUGCUUAGGUAUGUACUGGUAUUAUUGAUUUCUCCCUUCUGAAGAACCAUGAUGUCAUUAAUUUGAUGUCGUGGGGAAUCAGGACUGUUACUUUGAAAAAAUUAGAGUGUUUAAAGCAGGCUUUCGCUUGAAUACAUUAGCAUGGAAUAAUGAAAUAGGACGUUUGAUUCUAUUUUGUUGGUUUCUAGGAUCGACGUAAUGAUUAAUAGGGAUAGUUGGGGGCAUUAGUAUUCAAUUGUCAGAGGUGAAAUUCUUGGAUUUAUUGAAGACUAACUACUGCGUAAAGCAUUUGCCUAAGGAUGUUUUCAUUAAUCUAAGAACGAAAGUUAGGGGAUCGAAGACGAUCAGAUACCGUCGUAGUCUUAACCAUAAACUAUGCCGACUAGGGAUCGGAUGAUGUUAAUUUUUAAUGACUCAUUCC
rnacentral:rRNA from 1 species